rnacentral:rRNA from 1 species
UACGGAGGGGGCUAGCGUUGUUCGGAAUUACUGGGCGUAAAGCGCACGUAGGCGGCUUUGUAAGUUAGAGGGGAAAGCCCGGGGCUCAACCCCGGAACUGCCUUUAAGACUGCAUCGCUUGAACGUCGGGGAGGUGAGUGGAAUUCCGAGUGUAGAGGUGAAAUUCGUAGAUAUUCGGAAGAACACCAGUGGCGAAGGCGGCUCACUGGACUGGUAUUGACGCUGAGGUGCGAAAGCGUGGGGAGCAAACAGG